GAGGGUAUAGCUCAAGUGGCAGAGUGCAUGCUUAGUGUGCCUGAGGUCCUGGGUUCGAUCUCCAGUACCUCCU
rnacentral:tRNA from 1 species